rnacentral:ncRNA from 2 species
UUAAAACAAGGGGAUGGAGUUCCCCCAAAACCGCCUGAAAAAGGCUGAUAACUCCUACCAAUAU